GAUGAACGCUAGCGGAAGGCUUAAUACAUGCAAGUCGAGCGGUAGGUGGCUUCGGCCAUUGAGAGCGGCGCACGGGUGAGUAACGCGUACAUGACCUGCCUGUCAGAAGGGGAUAGCCCUGGGAAACUGGGAUUAAUACCCUAUGGUAUUGAUAUUAUGAAUGAUAUCAAUUAAAGUUGAGGCGCUGACAGAUGGAUGUGCGUCUGAUUAGCUAGUUGGUAGGGUAACGGCCUACCAAGGCGACGAUCAGUAGGGGGCGUGAGAGCGUGGUCCCCCACACGGGUACUGAGACACGGACCCGACUCCUACGGGAGGCAGCAGUAAGGAAUAUUGGUCAAUGCCCGCAAGGGUGAACCAGCCAUUCCGCGUGGAGGAUGAAGGCCCUAUGGGUUGUAAACUUCUUUUAGAUGGGAAGAAAUGCUAGAUGUAUCUGGUACUGACGGUACCAUCAGAAUAAGCACCGGCUAACUCCGUGCCAGCAGCCGCG
rnacentral:rRNA from 1 species